AUGGUCUCCUGUUAUUAUCUGCUUGAGUGUUUUUUUUUUUUCAUUUUUUGCAAAUGCAAUAUUUGGUUUUGGCUUGUGGUUGCCCUGUUUUUUAAGUAUGCUAACCCCUUCCCAUAAUUGUGUGUUUUAGCCUGAUGGUCCUGUAAGUUCAAACACUUCAUUACUAUAUUAAAAUUAAGAAGAGAAACAUACAAACAAACAAAAAGGGUUAUUUACUUCCUAACAUCCCUUGCCCACAUUUUAUGGUUUUGAUGACUCUUUUUUAUUUUUUUCUUUUUAAUUUUAUUUUGUUUGAAGCAUGUUCAUGAUUAAAUCUGUAUGCUGGCUUAUUUGAGUGACUGCUCUCUGAUUGUAUCUUCCUCAGUCCUAGUUCUUCUUCUUCUUCUUCUUCUUCUUUUUUUUUUUUUUUUUUUCUUUUCUUUUUUCUUCCCUUUCCUUCCUUUCUUUUUGGUUUAGAGAAGCCCUUUCAAUAUUUCCUUUAACCUGGGUUUUGUGUUGCUGUAUUCUUUAAGUUUUUGUUUGUUGGGAAAAAUUUUUAUUUCCCCUUCUAUUUUAAAUGAUAUUCUUGCUGGAUAGAGUAUUCUAGGUUGCAUAUUUUUUCCUUUGAGCACUUUAAAUAUCUCUUGCCAUUCCCUCCUGGCCUGUAGUGUUUCUGUAGAGAAAUCAGCUGAUAUUCUUAUGGGGGUUCCCUUGUAGGUAACAUUCUGUUUUUCUCUUGCUGCCUUUAGGAUCCUCUCUUUAUCACUAACUUUUGCCAUUUUUAUUAUGAUGUGUCUUGGUGUGGGUCUGUUUGGGUUCAUUGGUCUGUUUCUGCUUGAUUCAGUUUUGGCAGGCUGUAAGAUUCUAGAAAAUUGUCCAUUUCUUCCAGAUUGUCAAACUUGUUGCCAUAUAGUUGUUCAUAGUAUUCUCUUAUGGUUUUUUGUAUUUCUGCUGUAUCCGUUGUGAUUUCUCCUUUUUCAUUUAUAAUUUUGGUUAUUUGGGUUCUUUCUCUCCUCUUUUUAGUGAGUCUGGCCAGGGGUUUGUCAAUUUUGUUCACCUUUUCAAAGAACCAGCUCUUGGUUUUAUUAAUUUUCUCUAUUGUUUUUUGAGUCUCUAUUUUAUUGAUUUCUUCUUUGAUCUUUAUAAUUUCCUUCCUUCUGCUGACUUUAGGACUUUUUUGUUCUUCUUUUUCUAAUUCGUUUAGGUGGAGGGUUAAGUUGUCAAUUUGGGAUCUUUCUUCUUUUUUGAGAAAGGCCUGUAUUGCUAUAAAUUUCCCUCUGAGCACUGCUUUCGCAGCAUCCCAUAGAUUUUGAGAGGUUGUGUCUUCAUUAUCAUUUGUUUCAAGGUAGUUUUUAAUUUCCUUCUUGAUUUCCUCAUUGACCCAUUGGUUUUUUAGUAGCAUGUUGUUUAGUCUCCAUGGAGUAGGUUUUUUCUCUUUGCUUUUCCCAUGGUUGAUUUCUAAUUUCAUGGCAUUGUGGUCAGAGAAGAUACUUGAGAUAAUUUCUAUGCUCCUAAAUUUAUUGAGAUUCGCUUUGUGUCCCAAUAUGUGGUCGAUUCUUGAGAAUGUUCCAUGAGCAUUUGAGAAGAAUGUGUAUUCUGCUUUUUUUGGAUGUAGUGUCCUGAAGAUAUCAAUUAAGUCUAACUUUUCUAUUGUUUCCUUUAGGAUCUCUGUUGCUUUAUUGGUUUUCUGUCUAGAGGAUCUGUCCAUUGAUGUGAGGGGGGUAUUUAGGUCUCCUACUAUGAUUGUAUUCUCAUCAAUAUCUCCCUUUAUGUCUGUUAAUAUUUGUUGUAUGUAUCUGGGUGCUCCUAUAUUUGGGGCAUAUAUGUUGAUGAUAGUAACAUCCUCUCCUUGGAUGGAUCCCUUAAUCAUUAAAUAGUGUCCUUCUUUGUCUUUCUUUAUGUCUUUUGUUUUAAAGUCUAUUUUGUCUGAUAUGAGCGUUGCGACUCCUGCUUUUCUGUCAUGUCUAUUGGCGUGAAAUAUUUUUCCCCACCCUUUCACUUUCAAUCUAUAUGUAUCUUUUGUCCUAAGGUGAGUUUCUUGUAGGCAGCAUAUUGAAGGUUUUUGCCUUUUUAUCCACUCAGCCACUCUGUGUCUUUUGAUUGGGGCAUUCAGUCCAUUGACAUUUAAGGUGAUAAUUGAUAGAUGAUUAUUUAUUGCCAUUUGAACCUCGUGUUCCAGUUGAUUCUAUGGUUCUCCAUUCUUCCUUUCUUUUUUUUUUUUUUUUUUUUGGUUGGAUGGUCUCCUGUUAUUAUCUGCUUGAGUGUUUUUUUUUUUUCAUUUUUUGCAAAUGCAAUAUUUGGUUUUGGCUUGUGGUUGCCCUGUUUUUUAAGUAUGCUAACCCCUUCCCAUAAUUGUGUGUUUUAGCCUGAUGGUCCUGUAAGUUCAAACACUUCAUUACUAUAUUAAAAUUAAGAAGAGAAACAUACAAACAAACAAAAAGGGUUAUUUACUUCCUAACAUCCCUUGCCCACAUUUUAUGGUUUUGAUGACUCUUUUUUAUUUUUUUCUUUUUAAUUUUAUUUUGUUUGAAGCAUGUUCAUGAUUAAAUCUGUAUGCUGGCUUAUUUGAGUGACUGCUCUCUGAUUGCGGUUUCCUCAGUCCUAGUUCUUCCUCUUCUUCUUCUUUUUUUUUUUUUUUUUUUCUUUUCUUUUUUCUUCCCUUUCCUUCCUUUCUUUUUGGUUUAGAGAAGCCCUUUCAAUAUUUCCUUUAACCUGGGUUUUGUGUUGCUGUAUUCUUUAAGUUUUUGUUUGUUGGGAAAAAUUUUUAUUUCCCCUUCUAUUUUAAAUGAUAUUCUUGCUGGAUAGAGUAUUCUAGGUUGCAUAUUUUUUCCUUUGAGCACUUUAAAUAUCUCUUGCCAUUCCCUCCUGGCCUGUAGUGUUUCUGUAGAGAAAUCAGCUGAUAUUCUUAUGGGGGUUCCCUUGUAGGUAACAUUCUGUUUUUCUCUUGCUGCCUUUAGGAUCCUCUCUUUAUCACUAACUUUUGCCAUUUUUAUUAUGAUGUGUCUUGGUGUGGGUCUGUUUGGGUUCAGUUUGUUUGGGGCCCUCUGUGCUUCUUGUAUCUUGAAUCCAGUAUCCUUUAGAUUUGGGAAGUUUCCAGCGAUAAUUUCUUCAAAUAUAUUUUCCAUUCCCUUAUCUUUUUCUACUCCUUCUGGAAUUCCUAUUAUGCGUAGAUUGGCCCGCUUUAUAUUAUCCCAUAGGUCUCUUAUAUUGCUUUCCAGUUUUUUGAUUCGGUUUUCUGUCUGUUGACCAGAUUGAGUGAUUUCCAUUAUUCUAUCUUCCAUAUCACUGAUUCGUUCUUCUGCAUUAUUCAUUCUGGUUUUUACUGCCCCUAGUUCAGUUUGCAUCUCUGCAAAUGAAUGUUCUAGUUUUUCUUGGCUCCUCCUUAUAUUUUCUAGUUCCUUUCUGAGGGUAUCUGCAUUACUGUUCAUAUCUUCUCUUAAUUCCUUCAGUAUUUUCACUAUUUCUCUUUUGAACUCCAGGUCUGUCUGACUGCAGAGAUCUGUUUCAUUGUUGACUGUUUUAGGUGAGUUCUCCUGUUGGUUUGACUGGGGGUGGUUUCUCAGCUUCUUCAUCUUGCUUGUUGUUUUCUUUCUCCUGAGGGAG
rnacentral:lncRNA from 1 species